GAUGAACGCUGGCGGCGUGCCUAAUACAUGCAAGUCGAGCGAACAGAUGAGGAGCUUGCUCCUCUGACGUUAGCGGCGGACGGGUGAGUAACACGUGGAUAACCUACCUUUAAGACUGGGAUAACUUCGGGAAACCGGAGCUAAUACCGGAUAAUAUAUUGAACCGCAUGGUUCAAUAGUGAAAGACGGUUUUGCUGUCACUUAUAGAUGGAUCCGCGCCGCAUUAGCUAGUUGGUAAGGUAACGGCUUACCAAGGCAACGAUGCGUAGCCGACCUGAGAGGGUGAUCGGCCACACUGGAACUGAGGCACGGUCCAGACUCCUACGGGAGGCAGCAGUAGGGAAUCUUCCGCAAUGGGCGAAAGCCUGACGGAGCAACGCCGCGUGAGUGAUGAAGGUCUUCGGAUCGUAAAACUCUGUUAUUAGGGAAGAACAAAUGUGUAAGUAACUAUGCACGUCUUGACGGUACCUAAUCAGAAAGCCGCGGCUAACUACGUG
rnacentral:rRNA from 1 species